rnacentral:lncRNA from 1 species
AGGCAUGCUAGCACUCCUGUGGGGAGAGCUCUCUGCUGCACCGGUCCCCUGUAAUAGCUGCUGUGCACGUUGAGUUCUUCAGGCUUGAACUGAGCACUGCUGGCAGGCGUGCCGAAGAAGGCAACCCCCUGCAAAUGACAAGUCAGGCAUGCUGUGAGCUACAGCCAGAAGUCCUUAAAUGGAUUACGAGGUGAAACAUUUUCAGGCCUGGCAUAAUAAUAACGAAGUUAUUUCCUAGAAAUACAGGGACGAUUCAUGGUCUUCAAAGUCUACGAGAAGUCAGUGAAGGUCUUUGAGAGUAGAUGAUCUAUAUUAGGAAAGCCGCGUGAACGAGCAGACUGUAGUCAUUGGCCCUUCCCAAACAGUAGGACACGGCCAUUUCAGUCAAUGAAGGUCUUCAAAGAAACACAUAUCAUCCUUCAGUGCCAAUUCCUCUCCUCAUCUUGUACUGUUGAACUGAGGCUGGGCUGACAAAGAAGGCCUCGUUGAAGCUGAUUAGCUUACAACACUCUGAAAUAGAGGACGAAAAGGCAACUGCGUUAAAGUACGUGCAAUUUCACCUUCCAGUCCGCUUUGACGCAGACAGAGUUGUUUCCAUUGGUUGACUGCGCCUGGGCGAAGCCAGCAAACAGAGCUGCCAGGAUGGCAAUGAG